rnacentral:rRNA from 1 species
ACAGAGGUGGCAAGCGUUGUUCGGAUUUACUGGGCGUACAGGGAGCGUAGGCGGUUGGGUAAGCCCUUCGUGAAAUCUCCGGGCCUAACCCGGAAAGUGCGGAGGGGACUGCUCGGCUAGAGGAUGGGAGAGGAGCGCGGAAUUCCAGGUGUAGCGGUGAAAUGCGUAGAUAUCUGGAGGAACACCGGUGGCGAAGGCGGCAUCCUGGACCGGCAUUGACGCUGAGGCGCGAAAGCCAGGGGAGCAAACGGGA